rnacentral:rRNA from 1 species
UUGCCUACGGGGGGCAGCAGUGGGGAAUAUUGCACAAUGGGGGAAACCCUGAUGCAGCGACGCCGCGUGAGUGAAGAAGUAUUUCGGUAUGUAAAGCUCUAUCAGCAGGGAAGAAAGUGACGGUACCUGACUAAGAAGCCCCGGCUAACUACGUGCCAGCAGCCGCGGUAAUACGUAGGAGGCAAGCGUUAUCCGGAUUUACUGGGUGUAAAGGGAGCGUAGACGGAGGAGCAAGUCUGAAGUGAAAGCCCGCGGCUCAACUGCGGGACUGCUUUGGAAACUGUUCAUCUAGAGUGUCGGAGAGG